rnacentral:rRNA from 1 species
UUGUCUCAAAGAUUAAGCCAUGCAUGUCUCAGUACAAGCUAAAUUAAGGUGAAACCGCGAAAGGCUCAUUAAAUCAGUUAUGGUUCCUUAGAUCGUACCCACACUUACUUGGAUAACUGUGGUAAUUCUAGAGCUAAUACAUGCAAACAGAGCUCCGACCGGAGACGGAAGGAGUGCUUUUAUUAGAUCAAAACCAAUCGGUGGCGGGCGUUCGCGCGCUCGUCGUCGUACAAUUUGGUGACUCUGAAUAACUUUACGCUGAUCGCACGGUCUUAGCACCGGCGACGCAUCUUUCAAAUGUCUGCCUUAUCAACUGUCGAUGGUAGGUUCUGCGCCUACCAUGGUCGUAACGGGUAACGGGGAAUCAGGGUUCGAUUCCGGAGAGGGAGCCUGAGAAACGGCUACCACAUCCAAGGAAGGCAGCAGGCGCGCAAAUUACCCACUCCCGGCACGGGGAGGUAGUGACGAAAAAUAACGAUACGGGACUCAUCCGAGGCCCCGUAAUCGGAAUGAGUACACUCUAAACCCUUUAACGAGGAUCAAUUGGAGGGCAAGUCUGGUGCCAGCAGCCGCGGUAAUUCCAGCUCCAAUAGCGUAUAUUAAAGUUGUUGCGGUUAAAAAGCUCGUAGUCGAAUUUGUGUCUCGCGCCGCCGGUUCAUCGUCCGCGGUGUUAACUGGCGAGUCGCGAGACGUCCUGCCGGUGGGUCGCGCGCGGUCCGCAAGGGUCGCGCACGCCCAACUCAAUCCUGCCGCGGUGCUCUUCGUUGAGUGUCGAGGUGGGCCGGCACGUUUACUUUGAACAAAUUAGAGUGCUUAAAGCAGGCUAAAACUUCGCCUGAAUACUGUGUGCAUGGAAUAAUGGAAUAGGACCUCGGUUCUAUUUUGUUGGUUUUCGGAACCCCGAGGUAAUGAUUAAUAGGAACGGAUGGGGGCAUUCGUAUUGCGACGUUAGAGGUGAAAUUCUUGGAUCGUCGCAAGACGGACAGAAGCGAAAGCAUUUGCCAAAAACGUUUUCAUUGAUCAAGAACGAAAGUUAGAGGUUCGAAGGCGAUCAGAUACCGCCCUAGUUCUAACCAUAAACGAUGCCAGCUAGCGAUCCGCCGACGUUCCUCCGAUGACUCGGCGGGCAGCUUCCGGGAAACCAAAGCUUUUGGUUCCGGGGGAAGUAUGGUUGCAAAGCUGAAACUUAAAGGAAUUGACGGAAGGGCACCACCAGGAGUGGAGCCUGCGGCUUAAUUUGACUCAACACGGGAAACCUCACCAGGCCCGGACACCGGAAGGAUUGACAGAUUGAGAGCUCUUUCUUGAUUCGGUGGGUGGUGGUGCAUGGCCGUUCUUAGUUGGUGGAGCGAUUUGUCUGGUUAAUUCCGAUAACGAACGAGACUCUGGCCUGCUAAAUAGGCGUAUUUUGACAUCCUAAAGGCUCGCCGGUCCGGGGUUCGCGCCCCGCGAUCGUGCGCGGUUUUUACUGUCGACGUACAAACUUUUCUUCUUAGAGGGACAGGCGGCUUCUAGCCGCACGAGAUUGAGCAAUAACAGGUCUGUGAUGCCCUUAGAUGUUCUGGGCCGCACGCGCGCUACACUGAAGGAAUCAGCGUGUCCUCCCUGGCCGAACGGCCCGGGUAACCCGCUGAACCUCCUUCGUGCUAGGGAUUGGGGCUUGCAAUUGUUCCCCAUGAACGAGGAAUUCCCAGUAAGCGCGAGUCAUAAGCUCGCGUUGAUUACGUCCCUGCCCUUUGUACACACCGCCCGUCGCUACUACCGAUUGAAUGAUUUAGUGAGGUCUUCGGACCGAUACGCGAUGGCGUUUCCGGUUCUCGAUGUGUCCGGGAAGAUGACCAAACUUGAUCAUUU